rnacentral:rRNA from 1 species
UACGGGGGGGGGCAAGCGUUGUUCGGAAUUACUGGGCGUAAAGGGCUCGUAGGCGGCCAACUAAGUCAGACGUGAAAUCCCCCGGCUUAACCUGGGAACUGCGUCUGAUACUGGACGGCUAGAGUAUGGGAGAGGGAUGUAGAAUUCCAGGUGUAGCGGUGAAAUGCGUAGAUAUCUGGAGGAAUACCGGUGGCGAAGGCGGCAUCCUGGACCAUUACUGACGCUGAGGCGCGAAAGCUAGGGGAGCAAACGGG